rnacentral:rRNA from 1 species
UACGUAGGGGCAAGCGUUGUCCGGAAUCAUUGGGCGUAAAGCGCGUGUAGGCGGCUCGAUAAGUCUGCUGUGAAAGUCCAGGCUCAACCCUGGGAUGCCGGUGGAUACUGUCGAGCUCGAGUCCGGAAGAGGCGAGUGGAAUUCCUGGUGUAGCGGUGAAAUGCGCAGAUAUCAGGAGGAACACCAAUGGCGAAGGCAGCUCGCUGGGACGUGACUGACGCUGAGACGCGAAAGCGUGGGGAGCAAACAGG